rnacentral:rRNA from 1 species
CAGCCGCCGCGGUAACACCGGCAGCUCWAGUGGURGCCRUUUUUAUUGGGCCUAAAGCGUUCGUAGCCGGYUUGAUAAGUCUCUGGUGAAAUCCYAYAGCUUAACUGUGGGAMUUGCUGGAGAUACUAUYAGRCUUGAGGUCGGGAGAGGUUAGMGGUACUCCCAGGGUAGGGGUGAAAUCCURUAAUCCUGGGAGGACCACCUGUGGCGAAGGCGKCUAACUGGAACGAACCUGACGGUGAGKRACGAAAGCCAGGGGCGCGAACCGGAUUAGAUACCCGGGUAGUCCUGGCCGUAAACGAUGUGGACUUGGUGUUGGRAUGGCYUCGAGCUGCYCCAGUGCCGAAGGGAAGCUGUUAAGUCCACCGCC